rnacentral:sRNA from 1 species
GGGGGUGUACCGGUUUCGACGGGGGCAUGGAGGCAGGACUAGCGGGCGGAUGCGCUUAACAUCCUUAAAAUGAGCACUUUUUAUAAAUUAAAGAACAACAAUAACGAAGUUCUUCUCGCUGCUUAAUUAAGCGAGCGUUCUGCCGGGGAGUACCACGGCCCCGGACAGGGCGUCGAUUAGUGGUGCACGUGAGUGCGGUAAGCUUUGCCCGCACCAUGCAUAAUGAAGCUACCAAGCCUGUGAGCGUGACGGCUCGCGCUCAGGCGAGGGAAUGUAAAUAACCGUCUGCGCCCGGAGAAGGUCUUGUUAAAGUACCUUCGGACAGGGGUUCAACUCCCCUCACCUCCACUU